AUGUCAGGAAUAAAGAAGAUCCAUAACCAGCUAGCAUAUAAUAUUGAAGCUUACAUAAAUGGCACAAAAUAUAUAAUAGAUGAAAUUACAAUAAGAGAUUUGUCAGUAAUAAAUGAUGACAUGAUAAUAGGGUUAAGAUUUUUACAACAAUCUUUACAAACCACAAUCAUACAUGAAGAGGGGGUAACAUUUAUUCCUUAUCAAGAUAAUGUUCCAUACAUAUCUGAAGUGCGAAAACAAAGAAAGUCCUUGCAAAAUGUAGAAAUAUCUAAUUUAGAUGAUGAAUAUAGCACAAGUCCAGAUCCCCUUGAAUUCUGUAAAGACGAAGAACUUAGUGAGACCAUAGAAGAAUAUCAUAUAGAAAAUACAUGUACUGAAUGCAUUGGGUUGCAAUCAUUCUCUCCAAAUUGGUAUAGAGAUAUAAAAUCCAAAAAGGAUAUAGAUAGAUUGUGCAAAGACUAG
rnacentral:rRNA from 1 species